rnacentral:rRNA from 1 species
GACGAACGCUGGCGGCGUGCCUAAUACAUGCAAGUCGAACGAGAGCGACCGGUGCUUGCACUGGUCAAUCUAGUGGCGAACGGGUGAGUAACACGUGGGUAACCUGCCCAUCAGAGGGGGAUAACAUUCGGAAACGGAUGCUAAAACCGCAUAGGUCCUUUAACCGCAUGGUUGAAGGAGGAAAAGAGGCGCAAGCUUCUGCUGAUGGAUGGACCCGCGGUGCAUUAGCUAGUUGGUGAGGUAACGGCUCACCAAGGCCGUGAUGCAUAGCCGACCUGAGAGGGUGAUCGGCCACAUUGGGACUGAGACACGGCCCAAACUCCUACGGGAGGCAGCAGUAGGGAAUCUUCCGCAAUGGACGCAAGUCUGACGGAGCAACGCCGCGUGAGUGAAGAAGGUUUUCGGAUCGUAAAACUCUGUUGUUAGAGAAGAACAAGUGCUAGAGUAACUGUUAGCGCCUUGACGGUAUCUAACCAGAAAGCCACGGCUAACUACGUGCCAGCAGCCGCGGUAAUACGUAGGUGGCAAGCGUUGUCCGGAUUUAUUGGGCGUAAAGCGAGCGCAGGCGGUUAGAUAAGUCUGAAGUUAAAGGCUGUGGCUUAACCAUAGUACGCUUUGGAAACUGUUUAACUUGAGUGCAAGAGGGGAGAGUGGAAUUCCAUGUGUAGCGGUGAAAUGCGUAGAUAUAUGGAGGAACACCGGUGGCGAAAGCGGCUCUCUGGCUUGUAACUGACGCUGAGGCUCGAAAGCGUGGGGAGCAAACAGG